AUUGAACGCUGGCGGCAGGCCUAACACAUGCAAGUCGAGCGGAGCGGCGGACGGGUGAGUAAUGCCUAGGAAUCUGCCUGGUAGUGGGGGAUAACGUCCGGAAACGGGCGCUAAUACCGCAUACUAUCAGAUGAGCCUAGGUCGGAUUAGCUAGUUGGUGGGGUAAAGGCCUACCAAGGCGACGAUCCGUAACUGGUCUGAGAGGAUGAUCAGUCACACGUGAACCGAGACACGGGCCAGACUCCCACGGGAGGCAGGCGGUGGGAAUAUUUGAAAAUGGGCGAAAGGCUGAACCAGCCAAUGCGGGUGGGGGAAGAAGGGUUUCGGAUUGGAAAGGACUUUAAGGUUGGAGGCGGUACCCACAGAAUAAGCACCGGCUAACUUCGUUCCAGCCGCCGCGGUAAUUA
rnacentral:rRNA from 1 species